rnacentral:rRNA from 1 species
UACGUAGGGGGCAAGCGUUGUCCGGAAUCAUUGGGCGUAAAGCGCGUGUAGGCGGCUCGGUAAGUCCGCUCUGAAAGCCCGGGGCUCAACCCCGGGAGGCGGGUGGAUACUGCUGAGCUCGAGUCCGGAAGAGGAGUGUGGAAUUCCUGGUGUAGCGGUGAAAUGCGCAGAUAUCAGGAAGAACACCAAUGGCGAAAGCAGCUUUCUGGGACGGUACUGACGCUGAGACGCGAAAGCGUGGGGAGCGAACAGG